AUUGAACGCUGGCGGCAUGCCUUACACAUGCAAGUCGAACGGCAGCGACGGGGGCAACCCUGGUGGCGAGUGGCGAACGGGUGAGUAAUGCAUCGGAACGUCGCCCAGUAGUGGGGGAUAACUAGUCGAAAGAUUAGCUAAUACCGCAUACGACCGUACGGGUAGAAAGGCGGGGGAUUCGCAACGAACCCCGCGCUAUCGGAGCGGCCGAUGUCUGAUUAGCUAGUUGG
rnacentral:rRNA from 1 species